rnacentral:lncRNA from 1 species
GGGGAGGUCUGUGAGGAGGGGAGGUCUGUUGAAGGACUGUGAGGAGGGGAGGACUGUUGAAGGGCUGUGAGGAGGGGAGGUCUGUUGAAGGACUGUGAGGAGGGGAGGUCUGUUGAAGGGCUGUGAGGAGGGGAGGUCUGUUGAAGGACUGUGAGGAGUGGAGGUCUGUUGAAGGUCUGUGAGGAGGGGAGGUCUGUUGAAGGACUGUGAGGAGGGGAGGUCUGUUGAAGGACUGUGAGGAGGGGAGGUCUGUUGAAGGACUGUGAGGAGGGGAGGUCUGUUGAAGGACUGUGAGGAGGGGAGGUCUGUUGAAGGACUGUGAGGAGGGGAGGUCUGUUGAAGGACUGUGAGGAGUGGAGGUCUGUGAGGAGGGGAGGUCUGUUGAAGGACUGUGAGGAGUGGAGGACUGUUGAAGGACUGUGAGGAGUGGAGGUCUGUGAGGAGGGGAGGUCUGUU